rnacentral:rRNA from 1 species
UAGGGAAUCUUCGGCAAUGGACGAAAGUCUGACCGAGCAACGCCGCGUGAGUGAAGAAGGUUUUCGGAUCGUAAAACUCUGUUGUUAGAGAAGAACAAGGACAUUAGUAACUGAACGUCCCCUGACGGUAUCUAACCAGAAAGCCACGGCUAACUACGUGCCAGCAGCCGCGGUAAUACGUAGGUGGCAAGUGUUGUCCGGAUUUAUUGGGCGUAAAGCGAGCGCAGGCGGUUUCUUAAGUCUGAUGUGAAAGCCCCCGGCUCAACCGGGGAGGGUCAUUGGAAACUGGGAGACUUGAGUGCAGAAGAGGAGAGUGGAAUUCCAUGUGUAGCGGUGAAAUGCGUAGAUAUAUGGAGGAACACCAGUGGCGAAGGCGGCUCUCUGGUCUGUAACUGACGCUGAGGCUCGAAAGCGUGGGGAGCAAACAGG